AAAUGUAAAACGGUAUAGAUGUAAGAAGAUUGCUAAUGAUAAUAUAUAUAGUAUUUAUG
rnacentral:guide_RNA from 1 species